GGUCUUGUGGUCUAGUGGUAUGAUUGUAAGUAACAGUAUCAACUCAGCAUUCAUGGCUCCUACUUACCUUUGACCAGCUCGCUUAGGGUACUUCCUGAGCACACUUGCGAGAGGCCCCGCGUUCGAGUCGCGGCAAGACCC